UGUCCAGUAGCACCUUAGAGACCAACUAAGUUUGUUCUUGGUAUGAGCUUUUGCUAGUUGGUCUCUAAGGUGCUACUGGACA